rnacentral:rRNA from 1 species
AUUGAACGCUGUCGGCAGGCCUAACACAUGCAAGUCGAACGAGUGGCGGACGGGUGAGUAAUGUCUGGGAAACUGCCCGAUGGAGGGGGAUAACUACUGAAAACGGUAGCUAAUACCGCAUACCAUCGGAUGAGCCCAGAUGGGAUUAGCUAGUAGGUGGGGUAAAGGCUCACCUAGGCGCCGAUCCCUAGCUGGUCUGAGAGGAUGACCAGCCACACUGGAACUGGUACACGGUCCAGAGUCCUACGGGAGGCAGCAGUGGGGAAUAUUUCACAAUGGGCGCAAGCCUGAUGCAGCCAUGCCGCGUGUAUGAAGAAGGCCUUCGGGUUGUAAAGUACUUUCAGCGGGGAGGCGUUACCCGCAGAAGAAACACCGGCUAACUCCGGGCCAGCAGCCGCGGUAAUUC